GAUAUAUAGACUGCUUAUCACACUGCUUUCAGCGCCAAUUGCUGCUUUCGACGGCAUACUGGGGAACUACAAUCCGAGCGAGAGAGACAGAGAGCUGAUUAGACAGAAUGGUGGGCCAAACAUAGCUGUAAAAGCAUUGGUUCUUAUGGGAGAAAGAUGCAAGUUGCUAGUAAAUUCCCAAAAAAUGUAGGUUUUUCGCAAUUUUACAGUUUUUGCGGGUAAUACGUAAAGAUGGAACGAGUGAAAUAUAAUUUUAAAUACAGUUUCAUUGUAAUGUGAUGUGUAGGUACGACAUUAAAUGCGCUAGAAAAUAGCUAACCCUUCUUCGACCCAAUGUUUGUGAUCAGUUAUUGAACCUAUUAUAUAUGUUUUCGUGUAUGUAAUUUGAUACAGUACUACAUGGAAUUUAUCUCAUCACUAAGUACUAUUAAUUAAAAAUAAUCGACUGCAAUGGAAUAAUGACCACUUUUAAAUGAUUUGUGUGGGUUUGUUAUUAUUGUAGUCGUAUUCGUUCAUUACGAGUUUUAGUUGUGUCUUUACUGUUAUUAUUUCAUUUUCAAUGCAAUUACAUAAUUAACUAGUAUACUGCCACUUUUCUGCUGUCAACAUACGUCGUCUGCUAACAAGGCACUGUUUGCCCACCAUUCUGUCAAAUUCAAAUGGAAUCAAAGAUGGCCUCCCACUAGCAGUCUAUAUAUAUCUAGGUCGUUGGUGGUGAUAUUAAUAUGACUAUCAACUUCAAGCAUCAAACACUUCUAUUAACACUUGAGUGAGCUGUUUUCACUAUCAAAUGUUAAAUAUUUGAGUGUAAUUUAAAGUAUUUCGUACAAUUAAAGUCACACAUUAAAAUGAAAGGUUCUUUGGCCCAGCCUGACCUAUCACCUAAAACAACAGUAAUGUCAACUUUAUCGUCAUUGGAGAUCCUGAUGGCAGCGACUGUCCUGAUGACAAUGAUGCUAACAGCUGCAGACUGAAAAGAGGCUGACGUCUCCAGAGAUCUCAACUGAAGGUGUACCAUCGUCACUGACAGCACUAGAGGAGACUUUAGCAAGUGCAGUGUCAUCAGCAGCAACUGGUGGUGUUCUAAUUAUAUUAAAAGUAAUACUUAUAUUUCUAAGGAAAUUAUACAUAACAUUAGCUACAUUUGAUUCUAAGAUGCUUUCAUGUGACAUUAUUGCUAAGAAAAUACGGUGCGUACAUCACACAAUAACUUAAUUUAUUUGAUUAUAAGACUCAUUUAUUUAUUGUAGAGAUUUUAAAAUGAACUGCUUUUAAAACAACUUCCUAUCCUUGCUGACAAACUCGUACAUUUGUAAAAAACAAAAUAUAUAAAUUGAAAUUGACAUCGUCCGGGCCUGCGGCCCCUCUUGAGUCCGAUAUGCCACCGACCAAACACCAUCCUCCAUUCAAACCUCCCGCUUACACGUGCGUGUGUGUGUGUGUGCGUGUGUUGGUCGCCCGGCAAGAGGGCACUGUAGAGCCAGUGCGCCGCACCCCUAAAUAUAAUUAAAUUAUUAUAUGCAUCUUUGUAAAUUGUUUUCAUUUUUUCCCCGAGUGUGACGUGACGGCAGAUCGGCCGGGAGGGUUUUAUGUACUUUUAUUUAGAAUUGAUGUAUUUAAAUAUAAGGACUUUCCGGACAUUCACGAAGCAAACCGAAGCCAGACACUAUUUAAAUAUAUUCCUUAAUACUUGUAAUUUUUAUUAUCAUUUUUUAAUAUUCAGGAAAUGUCACGUAAAUUUUUAAGAACCUUUUUUAUGUUACUUUAGUUCCCCGUGGCACGGAAUCGAAAAUACCUUUAAUGGCAAUUGUUUCGGCGGGAGGACGCCAUUGUGGGUCCUUGUAGCUGAGAGCUCCUCCCAGUCUUCUGCCAUCAAUGACCAAGAGCAGACGCUUCAGCACUCCGGGGACCUCACCGCUUGUUCAACUCUGCAUAGUAAUUCUGUUCGUCUUUAAUUCUCAUUAAAUCUUUUUCGCUUAGUCCUCGGAGCUUUUCUCGGUCGGGGGACUGUUUUAAUAAUUACAUUGUGACCAUUAUCUGUCUUUUUCCUAAGCAUUAUACGUAAGUCGAUGUGUGACCACGUGGUUGGUCACUGCACUUAAACCGAUUUGUGCCACGGGCGUUUGUUACAGUCUAAAUUGUGUGCGUGUGUAAUCGAAGUUGGCCAAAUAAAUAAGGGAGUAUAAAUUUAAA